CGCGAAACGAGCGUAGCUUCCUUGUCGUGUGGCCUCAGUCCUUCGCCGUCCCUCGCCGUCCUUCGCCAUCGCACGCCACCGCACCCCAUCUCUCGAAAUCUGCAGACAUCUUGAUUUUUCCCACGCUGUCUGUCAGGUCUCCGCCGCCACUCGACGCCAGGGCGCCGGGCCUUGUGGGCUGUGCUGCACCUCGGACGGCUUCGCACCAGCCAGCGCCCUCUCUCUCCUGCAGCACUCUGAUCUGCACCCCCUGAGGGGCUUCCACUGUCCGCGGGGUGAGAAUGCCCCUGGGAGUGUCACAUGACUGCCGCCCCAUGUGUGUGAGAGGCGUCCUCUGGGAGAGCAUGGAUCCUGAGGUCCCAGGAUUGUCAGCUGACCUCUGUCCUGUGUGCCCAGUGGCCCCAGGUGACGUGUCUUCAAGAAGAGGCUGAGCUGCGGUGCUUGUAAGAUGGGUCUGCUGUGUGCAGAGGCUCCAUGGGAUGUGUUGUCUUCAUAGUAGCAGGGCGCUGGACCAUGGGUCCGCAAGGUCUCAGCCUUAGAUCCAAGGACAGUCCAAGGAAGUCCUAAGACCAUGGAGUUGGUGAUCUGGGAUCUGGGUUUGCUGAUAUUUCUCACCGUGAAUCUCUUGGUGGUGUUUGUGGGCACGAGAGGGGCAGAGAAUGGAGAGUGAGGCUACCACAUGAAGCGUCACCAGAGCUGCUCCCUGCUGCCUGCUCAGAGCACCCCGGAUCCACUGUUCAAUCUGCACAAGAUUCGGGGUCCAGACAUGGGAGACUUCAGCUGCCUCAGAGGACCGUGGACAGGGAAGGCCAGCCUCGCAUCCCUCUGUCCAUGCCUGGAAUGACUUUAAUAACCAAGAGUUUUAUUUUUGAAUUUGUAGCUGUCGUUCACUUUUUACCCACCCAUUCAAUAAACCUUACAGAAUUGCUCCAUGUGCUUCUUAAAUCAGUGACAACCUGUGAGCCUGCCAGGCUGGCUUUGGAGAAGAGGGAGGAAUCUACACAUGUCCCAGGGGCCAUGGUGAAAAGGUGCAGUUAAUCUCCCCACUUGAAGUUAAAACCACCUUGGCUGGAGUUGGGGCAAAAAUCACGCUGGUAAGCCUGUCUUGAUGAAUUUGGCACAUUAAUGGUCUGCC
rnacentral:lncRNA from 1 species